rfam:Lactobacillus brevis subsp. gravesensis ATCC 27305 genomic scaffold SCAFFOLD1, whole genome shotgun sequence.
UGAUGACAUUAGGGGAGCCCACCGGCUGAGACGUGAUUAAUAUGCGAACCCUUUGAACCUGAUCUGGUUAAAUCCAGCGUAGGAAAACUGUCGGCUUGGGACC